rnacentral:rRNA from 1 species
GUCUCUUUGUGAAUUAUAAAUAAAGAGUCGGGCCUGCUCGGUGAAUAAUUGUUUUAACAGCUGCGGUAUUUUAACUGUACUAAGGUAGCAUAAUAAUUUGCCUUAUAAUUUGAGGCUAGAAUGAAUGGUUUGACGAAGGUUGAUCUGUCUCUAUUCUAUUUUUUAGAAAUUAAUUUUUAUAGUGAAAAAGCUUAUAUUUUUUAAAGGGACGAGAAGACCCUAUUGAGCUUAUAAUUUUAUUAUUAUUAUUUCCAUAUGUGUAUAGUAGUAUAUAAAUUUUAAUUGGGGUGAUUAGGGAAUAAAAUAAUGAAUAGAGUAACUUCCUUAGAAUUAAUACUGUUGGGUAAAGUAACCAAUAUUAUUGCUUAUAGUAUAGUUACCAUAGGGAUAACAGCGUAAUUUAUUUAGAGAGUUCUUAUUGAAAAAUGAGAUUGCGACCUCGAUGUUGGAUUAAAGUAACCUUAAGGUGCAGAAGCUUUAAUAGGUAAAUCUGUUCGAUUUUUAAAACUUUACA